CGUAGGCAGAGGUUGAGGCCGGAGGCUGUCGGGCGCUCACCUGCGCGCACCUAGGCCCGCGGGGCGGUGGGCCUGAGGAGCGGCGCGGGCAUAGGCCUGGUCAUUCCUUCGACCAUUCAGUCAUUCAUUUCCUGAGCUGACUCAAAUUGAGAUGGGAUGUCUGUGGAUCAUAGAAAAAGUUCUGGAGAUGGUGAAGAGAUGUCCAAGCAGAAUUGCCACAACCUUUGAUGGCAAGAAGCAGCUUAAGUUGUAGAAUCUUGGGCCUUUCUUCUGACCACUGUAAGCAUCAAGAGAACAAGAGAUGACCCAUAAGUUGGCCCAAAUGGACCGGUAGCCAAUGAGAAUGUCAGCCCUUCCAUAAGCCCGUCUCCGCAGAGCUACAGGCAUUUUCAGGCCUCAUCUAGCCUCCUCAUGGGAAAAGAGGAUCCUCAAAGAACUUACAGUCUAGAAUAAGAGGCAGACACAGAAAUAGAAAAUUUCAAGAUCAAAGAAUAAAGACUGAGAACAAUUCCAGAUAUUUGGACAUGAUCUUGAUGAGCCUUCGCCUUGCUUUUCUUCUGGAGAAUAUGGGGAAACUGAGGUUUAGCAACACUCAGUGUAACUUGCUGAAGAUGACAGAUCUG